rnacentral:rRNA from 1 species
GUCAGCUGCUAUAUCAAACUGCAACUCACAACUGGCAACUGACUGAAGCUAGGCAGGUGUGAGCCUGGCCAGUACCUGGACGGGAGACCUCCUGGGAAAACUAUGGUUGUUGCUGAAA